ACAACAUCCACCGUAUAUCACAUUAGGGUGAAGAACACGAUGCCUUGCCCACUUAAAAAAUUCACCAUUGCAUUUUUGGGUAUGUUGGAGUUACACAACGAAAUGCAACUGAAAAGAAGUACUGGGCAGAGCCCAAGACGGCACAUCGAGCCAUGAACAAAUUGGUGUUCUCUCUUCUUUGCUGGUACGUAGCAUGAGCCAGGCUGCUGUGCUUGGAUGGAAGCAGCACUCAUCUCAUCUGUUACAUUGCACUAAAGGACAAGCAAAAAACCGAAGGAGAGGGAGGUUACUGGAAGUGUGGGACACAGAAUUACGGAACCUCAGGUGUUGGAAAGGACCUCUGGAGAUCAUCCAGUCUAACCCCCUGCUUCAGCAGGUUCCCUACAGCAGAUCACACAGCUAGGCAUCCAGGACAAAAUUAUCUAAAACAGUGUGUCCUUGAGGACAGAACUGCUGAGGGCUCUCUAUGGAAAUCUAUGAACAAAGUGAACACUGAUUUUGGAGGAAGAGAGGCAAAAAGCAAGAAAAGACCAUGGAUUAGAGAAGUAAAGAUUGAAAGGGCAAGGAGGAAAUGAAAGGCCUCAGCUCAAUUCUGUAGUGAAUCAACAACCUUUCUCAAAGAGGAAAAAAGAAAACUAGCAUGUAUGGCUAGAAAGUGGCUAGAUGGUGUCACAGAACUCAAGAAUGAGAAAGUUCUGAGAAUACAACCUCACACUGCACCUCCUGGUGAAGAAUGAGACCAUCUUGUUUGAAGAUCUCCGUACACCCUCCCAUUCUGAGGCUGGUGAGAGCAAACAAAUCUGAUGUAGGAUCCUAAGGCUUCAAUGAGCUGUUUAUCCUAAAACAUUUUGGAGCAGUUGAUAUUCCUGUGUGCAAACUACACUUCAAAUAGAAAAGAUUUGUCUUAGUUAUCAUUUGCAGAUCCUUUAGAAGUAGUCUAUGAACAACUAUGGUUGUUAAAAAGAAACUUACAAUUUUUUGCUUUAAAAAAUCUGUUGCUGGGAAGCCGACAACUAGUUUCUCC
ensembl:lncRNA